CACUAGCCACAUUUCAGGAAUUCAAUAGACACACAUGGCUGAUAGCUGCCGUAUGAUACAACCCAGAUAGAGAACAUGUCCAUCAUUCUAGAAGGUUCUCUUGGACAGUGCUGGUCUAAGUCCUCUCCCAUGGAGCUACCUCAUUCUUCUUAGUGUUCUUUGGUAAUGACAGCCACUGACGUUACCUCACAAGCUUUUGCUAUUGCAAAGCAUUUGCUGUUCUCCAUUUUUCUUUAAGCAAAUGUGAGUGUCUUGGUGGCAUAAAUGCCUUGCAUUUCUGGGUCCAGUGACAUUUCCCAUUUUGUUUUUUUCCUUUUUUUAUAUUUUGUUUUAUUAUUUUUUAAAUUAUACUUUAAGUUUUAGGGUACAUGUG
rnacentral:lncRNA from 10 species